rnacentral:lncRNA from 1 species
AAACAGAAGAAAACGUAAUUUCGAUCACGUUCUUUACUUGGGUAAUCAAUUCUCAACAACCGCUUUUCAAUUUCAGCAAUUAGAUAUUUUAUUUAGCAACAUAACAACCAUACAUCAAAAUUACAUAACUUGAGCUCGAAAGGGAAUAAAACGAAACACAGGUACGUAGCUACUUGUUAUGGUGGUGAGUUAUGGGAAGCUUGUCUUUUAUCUUCUCUAUUAUUCCUUUCUUCUUGUGUUUGUGCUGCUCUACUUCAUUUACACCCACUGCAUCAUGAUGAAAUGCACCACCACCACCACCACCACCACCUGUGGUAUCACUGUAUUCAUUUGCUGCUAUGCCAGCGGUGUCGCCGCUCAGGUCCAUUUCCUUCUGAAUUGGAUCCGUGCUUGCACUUGAAGUAACUGCACCAUACUGGUUUUGAUAGUGCGCCAUUCUUGGAUAACAAGCUAUUGAAUUGUAACUAGUGGAGUUAGGUUAGGGUUUAUAUUAGAGGGAGUUGCUCACUGCCUCGUCACUCUAACUGCUACUAGGUAUUGACACGUGCCACUUCACACAGGCCACGUGUCCGUCACCCCAUGUGCUACUAGGUUCAGAUCUUCUAGUUGCAGAACACGUCUGCUGUAUUCAUUUUAACAUGCAUUUAGUUUAUUUAUGCGAUCAAUUUCAAGAGUAUCUAUGGAAUAUUUAUAAAUAAUAAUAACUAGCUAACUAGUCCAAUGAUAUUUAAUCUAUUUCAUUAUUAAAAGUGAUGAUCAUCGAUCUAGUUGUUGGAUAGGAUCUCCUUAUGGUUGCAAUUCAAGAUAUGACCGGAAAUGCAUGUGGUCCCAGCAACAACAAUAACAUUGAAAGAAUUAAAAAGAAUAAGAGAACCAUAUGAAUAUAUAUGAUGGCAAAUGUUUCAUAAUGAAUCAAACCACUCUGCCAGAGAUGCCUACAGACUAAGCAACAAGGAAAGAAAAAAACUAUUAAGAAAAAGAAAAAUAUUGAAUUUACAUAAUUUGACUCAUCCCUUUAGAGAACCUGUACACAAGGAGGGGAUGGAUUGUUAUGUGGUAUACAUUCAAACUCAGCUGGUUAGAUAUUAUAACUUGAUUCUUUUGUAUCAUCAAGAAUCCUUAGGAACCAAACCAACUGUUACAGCUCCAUAUGCAUGAUGAAAGCUUCAUAAAUCAUUAAAAAAAAGAAAGAAUGGCAGCCUCCAAAACUUGAUGUCAUGAGGCUGCUGAGAUAUGCUUUGACUUGAAAAACUUUGCAACUGCUUGAUAGAGAUUCUCUUCCUCAAACGGCUUUGAUACAUAUCCAUCCAUCCCGCACUUCAAGCACUCUUCAUAAGUAGCAUGGAUAACAUCAGCUGUCAUAGCCAAUAUCGGUAAGUGGGGGUGCUCAUCGCCGUUCGUCAGUUGCUCGUUCGCCUUGCUCUCCAUCAUUCGAAUUCGACGAGUUGCCUCAAACCUGCAAAAUUCAUCAAGUGGUAAUCAAUGCAAUGCAAUGCAAUGCAAGGAGAAUCAGCAGCAGUAGCAGCAAUGAAUGCAAAGAAACAUACCCGUCCAUUUCUGGCAUUUGAAUAUCCAUGAAACAAGCAUCAAAAUUGUGAGGCAACUGAAGCAUCUCAAGAGCAACUUUGCCACUUUCAGCACACUUCACAUCAGCUCCAAACUUCUUUAAUGCACCGGCGGCGACCCUCCUGUUUACAAUAUUGUCAUCAACCACCAACAUUUUCUUUCCACAAAGAAGGCUUUUUAGGAAAGUUGAGCCAUUUGGCAUGUCUUUCCCAAGCUGCCUCUUCUUUCCCAUCCCCAGAACUUGCUGCAGACAAGCAGCCACCAUACUUGCUCUCAGAGGCUUCAUGAUCACCGUGUCGCUGAAACCUGUGGCUUUGGCUCUAUCGAAUUCGGCAUUACUAAUAUUGGUUGCAAGAAGUAUCAUUUGGGGUAUCUUCAACAUGUGACCAUUCUUUUUCCAAUCUAGUUGCCAGAUAUUGAAAACUCCAUCCUCUCCCGAAAACCAUGAAUCCUUCUCAACCAAAACAAUAUCAGGCUGAAAUAAUCUGCCACAUCCAAUUAUUUGAACUUCAGUGAAUGUACUCAAUUACAAAACAUAAAAGAUAGUAAACAUCAAAAAGGAAAUUGAAGCUUACCCUGAAGUUAAAGAACCAUUCUUCCCACAUAACAAAACAACCUUUUUAAUGUGGUUUGCAACUUUAGCUUGAAUACCAAGUCUCGUCAAAUGGUAUCUUGUGACAGCAGCUCUAACAGGUUUUCCAUCAACCACUAUAGCUUUAAGCCCUCUAAAACUAGAAGGAAGAUCUUCCACGUUCAGCUUCUUCACAUCUGUUUUUGAAUUUUUAUUGAACGUCCCAAAGUUUGCAGUAAAUGAAAAUGUACUCCCAACUUGGGGUCGGCUUAUGAAGUUUAUCUGACCACCCAUUAGUUCCACCAGACACUUACUAAUACUCAAGCCAAUCCCGGUACCACCAUAGUGUCGUGACGUCGAGCUAUCUGCCUGCACAAAAGGCAUGAAAAUCCUAUCCUGGGCCGAGAAAGGAAUUCCAAUUCCAGUGUCCUCCACACACACCAUUAAAGUAACUUGCUCAUAGCAUUCACUUGAGGCCACCUUCUUCACCAAACCAUCAAACAAAAAUUCCUCAUCAGCAAUUAGAUGCUUGAAAUUAUCCCAGUUGUUCCGUUCAUCAGCAGCUUCACACCCACUCAGAGUUUUUGAAUUACAACCCCCGGAUAUAUGCCCAACUUCAUCUGUUUCUCCAUUUUGAUAAGUCUCACAUGUUCCAUUCAUUGUGGGCUUUCUACUUUCUGCUAGAUGAACUUUGACAAAUAUAUGUCCUCGUUCAGUGAACUGCAACAAAUUUAUACUUGUCAGUCACUACCUUGCAAAGAAAUUAAUACAACAUGCAUAUUAAUAAUACAAUAUACACUUACUUUAACCGAGUUGCCAACAAGAUUUGUUAUUAUUUGUCUGAAUCUCCCAGGAUCUCCCAUAACAAUGUCUGGAACUUUAUCAGAAACAAACACUGCCAACUAUAAUUCCCAAAACAAUUUAAAAGUCAAAAUUGGAAGAAUAGCAACCAUGUGGAAAAUGAAAUAAGAUCAUUAGUUAAAGAAAAGGAAUCAGAAUUAUCAAAUUCUGAAGCUUGCAUGAAUCAAAACAACCUUAGGCCUUACCUCUAAACCUUUAUGCCUAGACUUCUCAGAAAAAAGUGAGAGGACGUCAUCAAGAAUGGAACGGAUGUCAAAUGGAACAGCUUCAAGCUCUAACUUGCCAGCCUCAAUUUUAGCACGAUCAAGCACCUCAUUUAUUAGUGUUAUCAGUGCCUUUCCACAUGCUUGAGCUGUCUGAGCAUAAUCUCGCUGGGUUGAAGUCAACUCUGUAUCUAAAAGCAGACCAAGCAUUCCUACAGUGAUAUGAUUUUAAUGACAGCAUCAGUAACAUAAACAUUGAAGGGAUCAAAACAUGUUAUAAAUUAAAUAAUAAUGAAAGAGAGCAAGAAACUUGAUGUUACCUAAAAUUCCAUUCAUGGGAGUUCUAAUUUCAUGGGACACAGUAGCUAGAAACUGGCAAUAACAACAAAGUAUCAUCUUUCGCAAUCAGUAUGCAAUCUGGGGAAACAACAAAACAUGCUAACAAUAUGCAAGGUACAGUACCUGUGACUUGGCAACAUCAGCUGCUUCCGCGAGCACUUUCAACUCCUCCAUUUCCUGGUAAUCAUCCUCUACUUUGACAAUAUGAAUUCCAGCACCAUACAAAAUGUAACCAAUUAAUAAGAGGAUCACAAAGGAUAGGAAUACUGUGGUAAGUGCCAUCCAAUUAGUUGGUGCCUUCUGAUGAUACCUGUUCAAAAACUAGAAGAUAAGUAUCUAGUAACAAAAGAUUAGAAAUCAUUUCUUUCCUUUCAGAAAAUGUACAGAAGACAGAACAAACUACCUACCUACAUAUCAUCGUAUGAUUCCUGUAAGGAUCUCCAAAAUCAAGGUUACUUUCAUGGACAAGUGACAUGUCACCUUUUUCAUUUUGGCUCCCAUACAUGAUCAGGUGGGUAGAAGAGUUUGUAACAUCAUAUACAUUCACCAAAAUUGCUUGGUUACCAGCAAGCUGACCGAGUAAAUUCUCCACAAGGGACUCAACAUCAAAGGAUCCUCCGACAUAUCUGCUUCAAUCAGAAAGUUUGUUGAACUCAUUGUACCAGUAGGCAGUUCACAGUAAAAAGUAAGCAACCAGAGUGAACUAAAAGUAACUGACUAGUCCACUGAUGUGAUUAUGGGAUUUGAACUAAAUAUUGUACAGGACAUGAAUACAAAGCAGACAUGUUGCAUUUAAGGAUAUGAAAUGAAAAACAAAGUGUAAUCAAAAGCAAGCCUAAUAAUCGAGAAUGCAACUGUUAUCUUCCCAUUGGCUAAAUAGUAUUCUGCCAUUUGCCAAGGGGCGCAAUGAAUGUAGCAUUGACAAACAAACGUGAUCAUGGAUGCAUAUUACAACAGCUCCGUAACUCCAUGAAUUGUGAGUGAAGCAAAAGCUGUCACAGUAUUUGGUUAUCACUGGAAGCAAUGAGGCCAUAAUUGACAAAGUCACCUGUGUUAUGUUGGACAGUUGGAGCCUGUCUUCAUGGUGUAUGAAUUGAAAUGUUUACACUAGUGCAAUCAAAAGGACUAUCAAUUAAUUGAGAAUUGAACCAAGAAGUUGUCCUUAAAAUUCUCUUUUAUGGAGAAAAAAUCUCUUUUUAAGUUGAAUUAAGAAAGUUUUAAUUAUUAUUCUUUGGCGAAAAAAAUCCAAACAAUUAAAAUAAUAUUUAAUUACUGCCUCAAUGGAGCAUUUUAGAAAUGGAAAAUACUCCUCAUAUAUCCAAGAAAUAAACUUGAGAAACCAAGAAGAAGUGAAAACGAGGAAGCAUACCCUGCUGUUGCUUUAAUGCGUUCUUCCAAUGUUGGAUUUGGAGGAAGCUUAGAUUUGUAAACAGGAAAUGUUAAAACCACACCAAGAUGAUGAGACCCUAAAAGCCUAAAGGGGCUUGUCAGAACGGCUUUUCCAGUGGCCCUGGCCCUUAAAAUAUUCUCUCUAUCCUCCUAAAUCAUGCAAAUGAAUUGCAAUUAAAAGAAGAAAAAAGAUAAAAACAAGAUGUGCACUACAAAACUAAGGUUGUUAAUUACCUUCCCGGACAUCAUAUCAAGAGAUUCAAGGUAGGAAAGGGUUUCCUGGGCAAAGAUCACCGGUGCAUACUCGUCUCUGAGCUGUGAGGGCUCUCUCUCCAUUGUCUUUAUAAUCCAUCCAUGUUGCUUCUCAAAUCUUUCCCUCUCAGAAUGUACCACUCUUUGAGCAUAAGCCACCCCACUCAACAAUGGCCUUUCAAAUGCUGUCCUAGCUGUAUAUUCUGCAAAGGUUUCCUGAAGGCAAAUAAACAAUACACAUAUAAAAACCAUAAACAGAUAAGCGAAAGUGGAAUUGAAAGAUCGAAAGCACGAACCUGGUCAAUGGCAGAGGGGUGUCUGUAGUAAUGGAAGGUUGAAACAAGGAUGGCAAGGGCAUGAACAUGGUUGACACUAACACUGAAUUGAUCUUGCAGCAUUCUUGCCCUUUGGUCACACUGGCUUUCUAGACCCUCCUUCCUCCUCACCUUGGCAUCAGCAUCCAUUUUGUUGAAGAUAAACCAACAAAAGUAAGCCAUCACAAGGGUCCACAGAAGCAGAAACAGUGGAAUCAAAGCCCUGUUUUUUUGAAUUAAAGUGUACUUUCUCUUUUGGCUCCCAUUUUGCUCAUGCAUCCUCAAAGCCACAGGGACAUGGUGCUUCUGCAUCACCAUCUGCAUCUCCUGAAUCUUCAUCUUCAACCCAAGCCCCAUCAGAAAGAAGAAAAAUCUCCCUUUGCCUAGUUCUUACGGGCUUCUGCUAUGUCCCCUUCACUCUUCAUAUCUAUUAGGAGGAGAUUGGAGAAGAAGUCCCAAGGAUCAGUAUGAUGAGCGCUUAAAUAAGAGGACUUCACUUUGUCUUCAAAAGUUGAAAGAAAAAGGUUACAGAACAAAACUCCAAGCAAAAAAGCAUCAUUACAGCAUUGUUUUGCGUGAUUCAAACCUCAGAAAGGAGAACCUAAAAAGCAAACCAAGCAUGAUGUAUGAGUAGCCAAAUAAUUCCCCCUCUUAUUUUUCUCCCCUUAAGAAGCAAACCCCAUUUCAGAAACUACCCCAAAAUAAAAAUGCCAAGAAGAAAGAAAGGAAGAAUAUAAAACAAGGAAAAAAUCACAUUCAGAAUCAGAAAGGUGAGAGAGACAAGCAUGGGUCUCAAAAGAUGGAAAACAGCUCAAAUUUCAAAGGAACCACCUUUGGCUCUCUCUUUCUCUCUCUCUCUCUCUCUAUUCAAUUAAGUGUGAUUUUUUAACAGAGUUUUGGGAUUUAAGGAUGACAUUAAAAAAAUGAAACAUGAUGCAUAGGCGUGAAAACUAUUGUUGGAGUCGAGGACAAAGCAUGAGCACGUUCACACACUCACCCCUACCUUCCAUAUAUAAUAAUCAAAACAAGAGAUUGACCCCAUAAACACCAUACAGCGAAGCACACUACCCAAUGAAGGAGAGAGAGAACGAAAGAAGAUGGGAGGGGGUUGUUGAGAUUUUUGAAGGAGAGACAAUGUUUACCUGUACAUGGUACAAUGAACAUUUCGAACCACCUUGCUUUGUUUUCUGAUCUGCCCUUUUUUUAGUUUUUCUCUCUCUCUCUCUUGUUUGUUUUACUUUUCUUUGUUUAAUUUAGAAACUGAAUCCAAUUUUUAUGUUUUCACAGAUACGCUCUUGUCCCCCUUCAACUCCUCAGAAACCAAAAAAUAAUAUAGUCAAGCCUUCUUCUUCUCUCUCUACCUUUCUUCAAGAAUACUGAAUACUAGUAGCAAUGCAUUCCUUGUUUUCACACCCAAGGUACCAUCUUUUUGCACUGCUGAGUUCUCGUGACCAACUUGGUUGCUUCAGAGCAAACCCAAUAUUUCAAAGAAUGAAAAAAACAAGAAAUAAAAGAAGCAGCUUUUUUGGACCAGUGAGUGAGUGCUCAAAUCCAAUUUCCCACUUUGAAACACAACACAAUCGUGUAAUACGAAUCACUUUCUAUUUUUCAUUUUUUCUUCCUCGCCUGAAUCACUCACUUCCACUUCAUCGAUUCCUUGUAUUUUUGUGAGCUUUCAAUGUUGAAGAUUUGGAAGGGAGGGAAAGAAAGAGAAAGAGAGAAAGAAAGAAAGAAAGAAAGAAGAGUAAGAGAGAGAAAAUGGAAAACGGGAAAUCUCAAUCACAAAUCUGAACGAUAAUGACAUGGCGACAAAGCGCGAUCUUAUUCCCGGUGAAUUUCCAAGAAUGCCCUUCAUUUCUACGAGGAAUUGCGUACUUACCUUUUUUUGAGGUACUGUAAUUGAUCCUUAGUUAGUGUAAUAAUGGAAUUAGUUGCCAUGUAAUCACUAAUGUAACUUGCAUUAAUUAAGUAACACUUCUUAAUUUUCUGUAACAUUAUAUAAUAUUCACUCUUCAGGGUAGUUAGUUAAUUUAGUUACUUCAUUUAAUACUUUUUCUGAAUUUCUCUUCUUGGUCAAACCAACUCUUACAGGUUCCUUGCUUUUACUACACUUUGACUCAUUCAUUAGACACUUAAUAGUUAAUACUAUAGUUUAACAAAACGGGAAAAAAUAAAAUAAAAUAAAAUAACCUACCCCUGCUUAUAUGAUGAGCGUUCAAAAAUAAAGAAAAUUGGAAUCAGCUUUUUUCGUUAAUAUUUGUGUUGUCCUUUAAAUAGUAAAAUCAUCUUCAACAUUACCACCAGCAUGUGGCACAGGUAGAACAGCCUAUUUCCUAUUAAUUUUUUGCUUAAUACUAUUUGCAUAUUUUAUUUGAUGUUCGCUUUAGAUAACUUUUUAAAUUUAAGGUCAUAUAAUCACAACUGUUUUAGGUGUAUAUAUAUUUAAUUUUUUUAAAUAUCUAUUCACAAAUACAUAACAAUUAAUAUAUUGAUGAAUUUUUAUUGGAUGCAUAAUAUUUUUAUAGCAAAAUGUAAAUAUAUAUAGUAAAAAAAUACAGAUAAUCUAACUUUUAUGUAUGUGUGUCAUCAUCCUAUCUUAGAUGCUCUCUUAAGAAUAAUUUUAAUCUUCACUGGGAAAAAACAGCAUGAAAUAAAUUACCCUGAACCUUAAUCAAGAAAGAUUUGUGCCCGUGAACUCUUUUUUGGUCACAGUGAACAUUGGUUUAAUUGAUGGGUAGCAUCCAAUAGUCACAUUAACAGUAUUUUAUUUGGGUAACAGGUAGAUAUAUAAUAUAAGUCUAUUUUCAUGGUUGGUAUCUUAAAAAAAAACCAAGAGUUAUAGCUAUCAUCAAGUUCUUGUUAUUUCAAUUUCAUAUCAUCAUCACUAUUCUAUCAUGUAUCCUCUGCUAUCUAAAGUCUAAGCGUACUUUAUAAUAUAAACUAAAUCAACGGAUAAUGUUUCACACUAUAAAUAUAUGAGUUUAGUUAACACAGUAACACUGUAUUUUUUAAAAAAAAAUAUAAUUAAAUUUAUAUUUUAAAUGUAUUUAUUAUGUAUUUAUCAAAAUAAAAAUUUAAAUUUUUUUACUAAAUGUAAAUUAAAUUAAGAUACAUUAAUUAAAGCCUAGGUAUACAGUAUCACGCUGUGCAUAGAUGAAAGUGAUGGUUCACGUAGCAAUUUCUGUUGGCCAUUAAAAGUUGGAAUCUAAACAGAACUAAUAAUACAUUAAUUAUUUUGUCAAUUCACAUAUAGCAAUUUCUAGAUCCAUAUUUAUUCUACAUGAUAUUAAUAAAAAGAUAUUUAAUUUAUUCGAUUUAAAUGUAAUUUCCAGUACGUGAAAGUGCAACGCUAAAAACUUUAGCUAAUGAAGAAGCCUAAGUUCUUUAGUUUACAAAACCAAUCAAAUUAGUGAUGAGUAAUAAUAUUUAUAAUUGACUGCAUAUAUUAUUACCCAAAAUGAAAGAAAAAUAAAAAAAUAGGAUCAAAUCUUCUCUAACGAAAGUGUUAGAAACAAGAGACUGAGAGAAUGAUGUGAAAAGUGUAUUAUUGAGUUGUGUGUCAGGUACAAUAUACAAGGGGUAUUUAUAGGUGCUAAAUAAAUCAAAGUAAUAAAGACAUAGAAUCCUACAAUUAAUGUACAGAUAUGCUAUAUAAAUAUAGACGAUGCUAAUUGAUCUAAAUUGAUUCUAAUGAUUCUAAUUGAUUCUCUAACAGAAAGCAAAUUCACCAACAUAUUUGACAAUGAUAAUUAUAAAUGAUAAAUGUUGUCCCCUUUUUCCCCAUAAAUAAAAGCUUAUAUAUAUUCAACAUAUUCAUGUUAGGUUGGGGAGUUUUUUAUACUUGCAAACUUGUCUUGCAUGUGGGUUGAAUAAUACGCAUAUAUUUCAUAUAACCCACAUUGUCAAUCAAGAAACAAUAAUCAUUGUUUUUUCAUAUUCGUUGAAUCAGUUUGAAAAUCCAUGUUUCUUCUGUUAACGUAUAAGCCGCAUGGUAUCAGUAGUCAACUUUAUUAUUUAUGUUAUUUCAUGGAAUAACUAGAACUCGUGGCGUUAUUAAAAUUAAAAGGAUAAAUUGAAUUUGGUAUGGCUAAUGUUGUGCUGAAUCCUUUUUCUUAAUAUUUAGUUAGUUAGUGUAUGUUUUGAAACGUAACCAAGACUUUGAGAUUCUACAUCCAAUAAACUUUAACAAAGGAAGUGCCGCCAACGGACUAAUUAUCAAAUUGGUCUUUCCUAUUCACAAUUUUUAUUAUUUUAAUUUUUUAAAUUUAAAAUUGAUUAUACUGGUUUAUGAAAUUUAAUAUUAUAUUAGUUUUUAGACUUUUCUAACAGUGAGUUAAGGAAUUAAAUAUUAAAUUGGUUUUGACUUGUCACAUUAAAUAUAUGCUUAAACUAUAUCGUUUCGUUUUAUAUGAUAUGCAAACUAUUUCAUCUUCUUGCCAAUGAAUAAUAGCUCAAAUGGUAUAGUCUUCCAAUACUCAAUUAAGAGGUUGCGGGUUCGAGUCUCUUAUCUUUGGUAAAAACAAAAAAAAAACUAUUUCAUCUUCUUACUAAUGAUUUAUAACUCAAAUAGCAUAGUUUCCUCAUACUCAUCUAAGAGGUUAUGGGUUCGAGUUUUUCUAUCUUUGAUAACACACAUUAAAAUUAGUUUAACAUUCGAUUUAUUGAUUCAACAUAGAAAAAGAUCCAAAGAUAAAUACGAUACCUAAAUCUAAAUUUUAAAGGUUGAUAUAAUAAAUUUUGAAUUUAAAAUACUAUAAUAAUAAAAAUAGUGAAUAUCAGAAAUCACUAGANNNNNNNNNNNNNNNNNNNNNNNNNNNNNNNNNNNNNNNNNNNNNNNNNNNNNNNNNNNNNNNNNNNNNNNNNNNNNNNNNNNNNNNNNNNNNNNNNNNNNNNNNNNNNNNNNNNNNNNNNNNNNNNNNNNNNNNNNNNNNNNNNNNNNNNNNNNNNNNNNNNNNNNNNNNNNNNNNNNNNNNNNNNNNNNNNNNNNNNNNNNNNNNNNNNNNNNNNNNNNNNNNNNNNNNNNNNNNNNNNNNNNNNNNNNNNNNNNNNNNNNNNNNNNNNNNNNNNNNNNNNNNNNNNNNNNNNNNNNNNNNNNNNNNNNNNNNNNNNNNNNNNNNNNNNNNNNNNNNNNNNNNNNNNNNNNNNNNNNNNNNNNNNNNNNNNNNNNNNNNNNNNNNNNNNNNNNNNNNNNNNNNNNNNNNNNNNNNNNNNNNNNNNNNNNNNNNNNNNNNNNNNNNNUAUGAUUUAUGAUUAUAAUGUGAAAUAUAAAAAGUAUUUUAUUAUAAAAGAAGAAUUGAACCAUGGGAAUUAAGGCUGUAUUUAUUUUUUAAGAUUGAAACUGGAACUGAGAGAUUAAAAUUGAGUAUUGUGUUUGGUGAUUAGAGAUUAAAACUAAAAUUUUAGUUUUGAAACACAAAAUUUUAAUCCCUUCAGUACUUUUAAAAAGUAAAAACAUAAAAGAUUAAAAUUUCUAUAGAUGGAGGUUAAAAUUUUAAUAACAUUUCUUUCUAAAAAUUCUCUUAUUUAACUUUUUUAAAUUUUAAAUUUACACAAUCAAAUAUAUUUUAUGUGAAACAUAAUAUAAAACCUCUCGGUCUCAGUCCCUUUUCUAAACUCAGCAUAAAAAAACAAAAUGUGGUUUGAACCCACGAUCACUGGUUGUGAAAGACUUGCAUGAAAAUAAAAACCAAUUCAAUAAUUUUUAUAUAAAUAAAACAAGUCAUAACUAUUUUUUAAGAGGAAUGCUAGGAGGCCAGGAGAAUUUGUAAUGUAUAGUUAUCAAUUAGUCAUCAUUAAUAUUUUUAAUAGUGUGAGAUGACAUUUAAUAGUAUAGAAUUACUCAUUUUUUUUUAUGGUUAAGUGCCGGUCAGAUUUCAAUAAAAGUUCUCCUAGACUUUCUCAUUUUUUAUUUAUAAAAUAUUUGAGAGAUUAUGGCCUCAUUCUCGUAAUAAAGCUCAGCCAUAGUGUGCAUGACUUGUUGAGUGUUUAGAAAUGAUGGUUCACGAAAACGCUAGAAUCUUCACAGCCAUCCCUACACCCUGAAAACAAUAGAGAACACUACAAGAAAAAAUCCUGUCGCCACGCUUUUUUUUGCGAUACUUUAAAAGCGUGGUGUAAAAGAGUCAAUAAGCACGCUUUUAUUAUGUAGUUUUGGUAUCCUUCAUCUCAUUUUGGUGUAGUUAUGUUAUCCUUUAGUUGAUAUCUUUCAUUAUGUGCUCUUGUGACCUUGUAAGGAACUGUAAAUUAUCUGACAUUCAAUUUAAUUUUUUAAGGAUCUUCUUGUACAAAUUUUUUAUCUUUAUUUAGGUUUAUCAUAGAUUUAUUUGUAAUAAGCUGAAAGUAAUUUUCGGAUCAUAAGUUGAAAGAUUAAUCUUUCUGUUUCAAGUACUCUAUUGUGAAGGCAAAUUAAUAAGCAAAACUGGUUUCAUCAUUUGUGAUUAUAUAUGUCAUAUAUAUUUGAAAUUCUUUUGAUAGCAUUUCAAUCAUGAAAAAAAGGUUUAAUUGUUGUCUAUGCUCUCUAAUGCGAGUAAUUGAGGUACCCAGAUUUUAAAAAUUAGAAAUUCUUAAAAUUGAAUCAACAUGAUUCAAUUCAAUCAUGGUUUGACACUGUAUAUAUAUUAUUACUGCAGCCUAAACUUUUUUCCAGUAAAUUCAAAACCAACCUUGAUAAAAUCUAAGCGCAAUAUGUGUAUAUAAUAAACCAUAUUGAGUGAAAGAUUGAGAAAAGUGGAUUUUGUCCCUAUAUUGCGUUUGAUUCUGUUAUCAUUAGAAGUUGUUCCAUUUUCAGAUAUCUCCUACUUCUAUGUUUAUGUUCCUAUUAAAUCUUGUUUCAAUAAAUUCUUUUAUGUAUGAGUUCAUUGUCUCCAUAAUUACAACAUAAAUAAUUUCCUGGUGACUUGAACUUGUAUAAGGUACAGUACAGUUGCUUUGAUUUUUUUCUCAUAGAGGAAAUUUAUUUUUUGGUACUUUUUAAAAGUAAAUACCAAACAUGCUUUGAUUUUGAUUUAGGAAGCGAUUAGUUGUACACAUGUGCAUAUCUUUGUUGGAUUCUCAUUGUGUGUUCCAAAUGCCACAACUGCUGCUUUGGUUGGUCAAAGUGGCAGUGGCAAGUCAACUGCGAAUGUUUAUUAGAAAAAUUCUAUGAUCCUGAUUCUGGAGAAUUACUGACAGAUGGGGUCAACUUAAAGAAUUUCCAACUUAGAUGGAUAGGAAAACAAAUUGGUUUGGUUAGCCAAAAAUUUCAUUGACAAGUUGCCUCAGGUAUGUCAGUAUUCAAAUUUCAUUGCUCUUUUUUCUUUUAAGUUUUUAAUUAUGUUUGGUUAAGAUAAAUGAAAGUUUAUUGUUAUGUUUUCAGAAAAUUGAUACAUUGGCAGUGGCAAAAGCAAAGAAUUGCCAUAGCAAGGCUAAUUUUGAAGAAUCCGAAAAUUCUGCUUCUGGAUGAAGCCACAAGUGCAUUGAAUGCUGAAUCUGAACGUGUUAUUCAAGAAGCCUUAGGAAAAACCAUGUCAAAUAGGCAUUGUCUCUUUCAGACUGAUGAUCCAGAUUAGGUAGAAUGGCUGCCAUUGUCACUUUUUGAAUUGUGUAUAGACAUUUUUUAUUUGUUUUAUUCAGUUUUUUCUUGUCACAAAAUAGUUUAGCUUCUUGUUCAACAAGUUUUGAUAUAAACUAUCAAAAAGAAAGAAAUAAAAGGCUAUUGAUGUUUUUGAUGCAAUUACUACUAGUUUUUUUUACAGUUUUUGGAGUACAUUGGAAUAUACAUGAAUGCUCAUAUUAGGAUUUUUUUGUAAUUUGAUAAAGAUAUAGGUCAUGCUUUUAAAGCGUGGCAAUAGGUUCACGUCUAGACACAUAAAUAAAAAAGGUGUGGCAAUAAGUUGAUAUAUAGGCACGUUUUUAAAAACGUCACAGUAGGUUUGUUGCUAGGCAUACUUUUAAAGCAUAGCAAUUGGUCACCACCAACAGUAACAUUUUUUUUCACCCAAAAAGCACCGCCAGAAAGUAAGCAUGACAAUUGAUUCCAAAAAGCGUGGCCAUAUAGAAUUAGCCACGGUUGAUCAAGUGACCUUUUAAAAAACAUGGCAGUACAUCAAAAAGCAUGGCUACACUUUUUUCAGCUUUUCGAAAACACUUUUGGAGCAUGUCAAAAAUCAUAUUUACUUGUAGUGAGAGAUCAAACAAGCUGAAGAAGAUCAAGAUUAUUGGAAAGAUAAUAUAGAGGGUUAAGUACGGUUUUAGUCUCUAAGUUAUAGGUCGAAAAUUUUUUCUAUCUCCAACUUUUUUUUUUGCAUACAAAAUCGCCUUUAAGAUUAAGCUUAGUUUUAAAAUCGUCACUCAGACCAAAAUACCCUUCUCCAAUAAACCUUCUUCACCAAAAUACUUAAUUUCGCUUCUUCUUUUUUUUUUUUCAUCACAUCAUUAGCAACAACAACAAUAGAAUCAGAAGCAGAAACAAUGUAAUAAACAAAAGAAACAAAAACAGAAGAAUCAACAAUGUAAUUAACAAAUAAACAAAUAUCAAAGAACCAGAAACAAAAGGAUCAAUAAUGUAAUAGAAGUAGAAACUAGUACUAAAAAAUCAACAAUCUGUAUUUCAAAUAUCAAAGAAUCAACAAAAUUACAAAAGAAAAAACGAAUUGAAACCCUACGGAAUAACGGUGAGCGAGCGAAGAGGAGCAGAAACGGCGAUGCGGUGCACGACAUCUUCUCUCGCUGAUCUGCUGGCAUCGACAUCGAACACUAGUGCAGAAGCAAAAACACCGUCCUCUUUCGUCGGCAUCGUCGCCACCUUCCUCUUCCCUCUUCUUCUUCCUCUCCCCCUUUUUCUUCUUCUUCACCAUGGUUCUCU